AGCAGCCGCGGUAAUUCCAGCUCCAAUAGCGUAUAUUAAAGUUGUUGCAGUUAAAAAGCUCGUAGUUGAAUUUCGGGAUCAAUACGUCGGUCGUGCUUCGGUACGUACUGGCGUAAUUGAUUUCUCCCUUCUGACGAACCAUGAUGUCAUUAACUUGGUGUCAUGGGAAAUCAGGACUGUUACUUUGAAAAAUUAGAGUGUUUAAAGCAGGCUCACGCUUGAAUACAUUAGCAUGGAAUAAUGAAAUAGGACGUUCGAUCCUAUUUUGUUGGUUUUUAGGAUCAACGUAAUGAUUAAUAGGGAUAGUUGGGGGCAUUAGUAUUCAAUUGUCAGAGGUGAAAUUCUUGGAUUUAUUGAAGACUAACUACUGCGAAAGCAUUUGCCAAGGAUGUUUUCAUUAAUCUAAGAACGAAAGUUAGGGGAUCGAAGACGAUCAGAUACCGUCGUAGUCUUAACCAUAAACUAUGCCGACUACGGGAUCGGAUGAUGUUAAUUUUUAAUGUACUCAUUCCGGCGCCCU
rnacentral:misc_RNA from 1 species